CUACGGGGGGCAGCAGUGGGGAAUAUUGCACAAUGGGCGCAAGCCUGAUGCAGCCAUGCCGCGUGUAUGAAGAAGGCCCUCGGGUUGUAAAGUACUUUCAGCGGGGAGGAAGGGAGUAAAGUUAAUACCUUUGCUCAUUGACGUUACCCGCAGAAGAAGCACCGGCAAACUCCGUGCCAGCAGCCGCGGUAAUACGGAGGGUGCAAGCGUUAAUCGGAAUUACUGGGCGUAAAGCGCACGCAGGCGGUUUGUUAAGUCAGAUGUGAAAUCCCCGGGCUCAACCUGGGAACUGCAUCUGAUACUGGCAAGCUUGAGUCUCGUAGAGGGGGGUAGAAUUCCAGGUGUAGCGGUGAAAUGCGUAGAGAUCUGGAGGAAUACCGGUGGCGAAGGCGGCCCCCUGGACGAAGACUGACGCUCAGGUGCGAAAGCGUGGGGAGCAAACAGGAUUAGAUACCCUUGUAGUC
rnacentral:rRNA from 1 species